rnacentral:rRNA from 1 species
AUACGGAGGGUGCAAGCGUUGCUCGGAAUUACUGGGCGUAAAGCGCGUGUAGGCGGCCAGGUAAGUCAGAUGUGAAAGCCCUCGGCUCAACCGGGGAAGUGCAUCUGAUACUGCUUGGCUUGAGUACGGGAGAGGAAGGCGGAAUUCCCAGUGUAGAGGUGAAAUUCGUAGAGAUUGGGAGGAACACCAGUGGCGAAAGUGGCCUUCUGGACCGAUACUGACGCUGAGACGCGAAAGCGUGGGGAGCAAACAGGAUUAGAAACCCCGGUAGUCC